UACGGAGGAUGCGAGCGUUAUCCGGAUUUAUUGGGUUUAAAGGGUGCGUAGGCGGACGCUUAAGUCAGCGGUAAAAUUGCGGGGCUCAACCUCGUCGAGCCGUUGAAACUGGGUGUCUUGAGUGGGCGAGAAGUACGCGGAAUGCGUGGUGUAGCGGUGAAAUGCAUAGAUAUCACGCAGAACUCCGAUUGCGAAGGCAGCGUACCGGCGCCCAACUGACGCUGAAGCACAAAGGCGUGGGUAUCGAACAGG
rnacentral:rRNA from 1 species